UGGGGAAUAUUGCACAAUGGGCGCAAGCCUGAUGCAGCGAUGCCGCGUGAGGGAAGAAGGUUUUCGGAUUGUAAACCUCUGUCAUCAGGGACGAAAAAGGACGGUACCUGAGAAGGAAGCUCCGGCUAACUACGUGCCAGCAGCCGCGGUAAUACGUAGGUGGCAAGCGUUGUCCGGAUUUACUGGGUGUAAAGGGCGUGUAGGCGGGAGAGCAAGUCAGAAGUGAAAUCUAUGGGCUUAACCCAUAAACUGCUUUUGAAACUGUUCUUCUUGAGUAUCGGAGAGGCGGGCGGAAUUCCUAGUGUAGCGGUGAAAUGCGUAGAUAUUAGGAGGAACACCAGUGGCG
rnacentral:rRNA from 1 species